GAUGAACGCUGGCGGCGUGCCUAAUACAUGCAAAUCGAGCGAAUGGAUUGAGAGCUUGCUCUUAUGAAGUUAGCGGCGGACGGGUGAGUAACACGUGGGUAACCUGCCCAUAAGACUGGGAUAACUCCGGGAAACCGGGGCUAAUACCGGAUAACAUUUUGAACCGCAUGGUUCGAAAUUGAAAGGCGGCUUCGGCUGUCACUUAUGGAUGGAACCGCGUCGCAUUAGCUAGUUGGUGAGGUAACGGCUCACCAAGGCAACGAUGCGUAGCCGACCUGAGAGGGUGAUCGGCCACACUGGGACUGAGACACGGCCCAGACUCCUACGGGAGGCAGAAGUAGGGAAUCUUCCGCAAUGGACGAAAGUCUGACGGAGCAACGCCGCGUGAGUGAUGAAGGCUUUCGGGUCGUAAAACUCUGUUGUUAGGGAAGAACAAGUGCUAGUUGAAUAAGCUGGCACCUUGACGGUACCUAACCAGAAAGCCACGGCUAACUACGUGCCAGCAGCCGCCGUAA
rnacentral:rRNA from 1 species